rnacentral:rRNA from 1 species
CCCUUAGAUGUCCGGGGCCCCACGCGCGCUACACUGAAGGAAUCAGCGUGGCUUUCUCCCUGACCCGAAAGGGUUGGGAAACCCGUUGAAUCUCCUUCGUGAUAGGGAUUGGGGCUUGAAAUUGUUCCCCAUGAACGAGGAAUUCCCAGUAAGCGCGAGUCAUAAGCUCGCGUUGAUUACGUCCCUGCCCUUUGUACACACCGCCCGUCGCUACUACCGAUUGAACGGUUUAGUGAGGGCCUCGGAUUGGUCUCGGCCCGCUCUUUACCGGGCGGCGCCGUUGGUCGAGAAGACGCUCGAACUUGAUCGUUUAGAGGAAGUAAAAGUCGUAACA